GACCCCUUAGCUCAGCGGUAGAGCGUGUGAUUCCAGUAAAGGAUCCACAAGGUCGUCCGUUCAAUCCGGGCAGGGGUCA